CUUUCCUUCAUUUUCUUCCCUCCUCCCUUUUCCUCCUCAAUGCGUUAAGAUGCACAGCCCAUUUUGAUAAUGCCAUUAGUGAUAAGUAAUAUUAAUUUACUUUAUGUCAUAUCGUAAAAAUAUGAUUAUGAUAUCUAGUAUUAGUGUUAAAAUGUCAUGUUACAAAGAUACUGAUUUGAGCUACAACAGCAUUAAAUGUCGCCUUUUCCCACUUCAUUACAAAAAAGAAGUAUCGUUCUGUAGCCAAGAUUCUUAUGGACUGCAUUUAACAGUUAAUUUAGACCCAGGCACAGUUUGACAACGAAAGGCGAGAAGUAUUUCAUACCAAUCUUGCUCCAAUAACAAUGGCAGUGAAGCUGUGCUGCAGAGGACAGUUCAGACUUUCAGACUGUCACCUGAUGAUCCAACUCCUACUCGAACAUGAAAGCCUUAUCAUUCACAUUAUGGCAGACUUAUUAAACCAACAAAAGUGAAUUUUUAAAUGUUGUUUGAAUUUUAACAUUAAAUUGUUUAAAACUCAAAAUGGCGAGUGCCAAAAAUGGCCCCCAAAGAAAAAAAAAUACAAACAAGAAAAAUAAACAUUUCUCUUUAUUAUCACUGGCAACAGUAGUUCCGUUUGAAAAAAAAAAAAAAAAAGACAAUUUUGAUGUUGGUUCUAAUUAUUUUAGUACCGUCUGCGUGUAGAUAUCUAGUGUUUUUGUAUCUACGUUUAUUUUCGUGUUCGGCAUGUAAAAAUUAUGAGAAAUAAAAGUGUUUUCUGCUAUAAA